rnacentral:rRNA from 1 species
GAUGAACGCUGGCGGCGUGCCUAAUACAUGCAAGCCGAGCGAAUGGAUUAAGAGCUUGCUCUUAUGAAGUUAGCGGCGGACGGGUGAGUAACACGUGGGUAACCUGCCCAUAAGACUGGGAUAACUCCGGGAAACCGGGGCUAGUACCGGAUAACAUUUUGAACCGCAUGGUUCGAAAUUGAAAGGCGGCUUCGGCUGUCACUUAUGGAUGGACCCGCGUCGCAUUAGCUAGUUGGUGAGGUAACGGCUCACCAAGGCAACGAUGCGUAGCCGACCUGAGAGAGUGAUCGGCCACACUGGGACUGAGACACGGCCCAGACUCCUACGGGAGGCAGCAGUAGGGAAUCUUCCGCAAUGGACGAAAGUCUGACGGAGCAACGCCGCGUGAGUGAUGAGGGCUUUCGGGUCGUAAAACUCUGUUGUUAGGGAAGAACAAGUGCUAGUUGAAUAAGCUGGCACCUUGACGGUACCUAACCAGAAAGCCACGGCUAACUACGUGCCAGCAGCCGCAGUAA